AGCGAACGCUGGCGGCAGGCUUAACACAUGCAAGUCGAGCGGGGAUCUUCGGAUGUCAGCGGCAGACGGGUGAGUAACACGUGGGAACGUACCCUUCGGUACGGAACAACUCUGGGAAACUGGAGCUAAUACCGGAUACGCCCUUAUGGGGAAAGGUUUACUGCCGAAGGAUCGGCCCGCGUCUGAUUAGCUAGUUGGUGGGGUAACGGCCUACCAAGGCGACGAUCAGUAGCUGGUCUGAGAGGAUGAUCAGCCACACUGGGACUGAGACACGGCCCAGACUCCUACGGGAGGCAGCAGUGGGGAAUAUUGGACAAUGGGCGCAAGCCUGAUCCAGCCAUGCCGCGUGAGUGAUGAAGGCCUUAGGGUUGUAAAGCUCUUUUGUCCGGGACGAUAAUGACGGUACCGGAAGAAUAAGCCCCGGCUAACUUCGUG
rnacentral:rRNA from 1 species